GCGCCUGUAACUCAUCGGUUAGAGUGUCACCCUUAUAAGGUGAAAGUAGAUGGUUCGAUUCCAUCCAGGCGCA
rnacentral:tRNA from 1 species